CUGCGAGUGCUGCAUUCUCUGUCUGUGACCUGCAGUCAUCACAAAUAUGUUACUUUUAUUCUCUUUAAUUGGAUUCUCAACAAUCCUUGGAGUCAUUUCAGAUAUUCAACUAAUACAAUCAGGCUCAGAAAUGAAAAAGCCUGGAGAAACUGUGAAAUUAACUUGCAAAACCUCAGGGUAUGAUUUUGGCAGCUACUAUAUGCACUGGGUUCUGCAGAUCCCAGGGAAAGGUUUGCAGUGGGUUGGAAGAAUAAAUCCUAACAAUGGGAACACAGACUACACUUCUUCAUUCAAGGGAAGAUUUACAAUCACCAAAGACAAUUCAAUCACUACAGUCUAUCUGGAGAUAAGCAGCCUGAAGCCAGAAGAUACUGCAACCUAUUACUGUACAAUGCACAAUGAGAACAACUAG